UUUUUCCACCCCUGGUGGUAAUCUUAUUUCUUUAAGCUUUUGCAGUUGACUUCAUGCAAUAUGUAGCUUACUUUUCAUCCCCCAAUGCACUCGUUGUUGAAAAUUAAUAAUACAGCAUUGUUUAAUAGUUUUCAGCUAUCAUUCAGAUUUUCAAGGGUGGGGGAUUGCCCUCCUCCCACCCCCUAGAGUCUGCCACUGUUGAGGAGGGUGUUGUGUUGGCAGCAACAUCACCAUCUGGAGUAUAAUUAAGGAUUUGUGGAGGAUUAGUAGCACAAACACUGUAUAAUGGUCCAAACAAGCCGGGAAAAUAUAUUUCCCUGCAAGAUGUAUAGAAAUUUCUUGCGAUGAUUUUUGGUUAAAAUUUCCUGGCAGCAUUCCCACCUUCAUUGUCACAUGCCGGACAGGACUGGUACCAGGCUUUUAGCCAGAAGGGCGUCCUGGGACGCCCCUAGAACAAAACAUGGACGCCCAAAUUCUGGGGAAAAAGGGAAAUUAUUUUCAAUUAUUUCCCUAAGUAUAUUAAUUUAAUAUAUCUGAAACGAAAUAGCUUCAAUUCUCAUUAUUAUUAUUAUACAUUUGACAUUUUGAUCAAGUUGAUGGUGAUAUGAAGUAACGUAAACUUCAAAGGUUUUCCAGAGGAACGUUUUCUCGACCCCCCCCCCCUUUACUGUAGAUGUAUUGUGCCAAAAUUGGACGCCCUCUUUUAGGACCCUGGCUAAAAGCCUGACUGGUACCAAACUUCCUAAAGUAUAGUGCCUCAGUUGGCAAGAGUGAAUGUCAGUGGUAACUCUCAACUAAAUCUCUUUGUAUAUAUCUAACAUUGUAAAAGUGAUUUUUGUAAUUACA